AACGCUAGCUACAGGCUUAACACAUGCAAGUCGAGGGGCAGCAUGGUCUUAGCUUGCUAAGGCCGAUGGCGACCGGCGCACGGGUGAGUAACACGUAUCCAACCUGCCGUCUACUCUUGGACAGCCUUCUGAAAGGAAGAUUAAUACAAGAUGGCAUCAUGAGUCCGCAUGUUCACAUGAUUAAAGGUAUUCCGGUAGACGAUGGGGAUGCGUUCCAUUAGAUAGUAGGCGGGGUAACGGCCCACCUAGUCAACGAUGGAUAGGGGUUCUGAGAGGAAGGUCCCCCAUAUUGGAACUGAGACACGGUCCAAACUCCUACGGGAGGCAGCAGUGAGGAAUAUUGGUCAAUGGACGAGAGUCUGAACCAGCCAAGUAGCGUGAAGGAUGACUGCCCUAUGGGUUGUAAACUUCUUUUAUAAAGGAAUAAAGUGGUCCACGUGUGGAUUUUUGUAUGUACUUUAUGAAUAAGGAUCGGCUAACUCCGUGCCAGCAGCCGCGGUAGUACGGAGGAUCCAAGCGUUAUCCGGAUUUAUUGGGUUUAAAGGGAGCGUAGGCCGUCUGUUAAGCGUGUUGUGAAAUGUAGAUGCUCAACAUCUGAAUUGCAGCGCGAACUGGCAGACUUGAGUGUGCGCAACGUAGGCGGAAUUCGUGGUGUAGCGGUGAAAUGCUUAGAUAUCACGAAGAACUCCGAUUG
rnacentral:rRNA from 1 species